rnacentral:rRNA from 1 species
CCCUUAGAUGGUCUGGGCGGCGCGCGCGCUACAAUGAUGCAUUCAAAAAGUCUUCUGACCUUCGAAGGUUGGGUAUUCUCCAAAGUGCAUCGUGAUGGGAAUAGUUUAUUGCAAUUUUUAAUCUUGAACGAGGAAUUCCUAGUAGGUACAGGUCAUCAACUUGUGUUGAUUACGUCCCUGCCCUUUUGUACACACCGCCCGUCGCUCCUACUGAUUGAGUGUCUCGGUGAAUUUUUUGAUCUUCUGUCGAUUCAGUUCACUGAUCCGACGGUGGAAAGUUGAAUGAACUUCGUCACUUAGAGGAAGGAGAAGUCGUAACA